rnacentral:rRNA from 1 species
GGAUUAGAUACCCUGGUAGUCCACGCUGUAAACGAUGUCUACUUGGAGGUUGUGGCCUUGAGCCGUGGCUUUCGGAGCUAACGCGUUAAGUAGACCGCCUGGGGAGUACGGUCGCAAGAUUAAAACUCAAAUGAAUUGACGGGGGCCCGCACAAGCGGUGGAGCAUGUGGUUUAAUUCGAUGCAACGCGAAGAACCUUACCUACUCUUGACAUCCUCAUAAGAGACUGGAGACAGUUUUGUGCCUUUGGGCAGUGAGAGACAGGUGCUGCAUGGCUGUCGUCAGCUCGUGCCG